AACAAACGCUGGCGGCGUGCCUAAUACAUGCAAGUCGAACGGGGAAAGCUUUCGGGUGAGUACUAGUGGCGCACGGGUGAGUAACGCGUGGAUAAUCUGCCUUAGAGUGGGGGAUAACGAAUCGAAAGAUUCGCUAAUACCGCAUAAGACCAAAAGAACUGCGGUUGAAGGGGUCAAAGGUUUUUCGCUCUAAGAUGAGUCCGCGUAAGAUUAGCUAGUUGGUGAGGUAAUGGCUCACCAAGGCAACGAUCUUUAACUGGUCUGAGAGGAUGAUCAGUCACACUGGAACUGAGACACGGUCCAGACUCCUACGGGAGGCAGCAGUAGGGAAUAUUGCACAAUGGAGGAAACUCUGAUGCAGCGACGCCGCGUGAGUGAUGAAGGCCUUCGGGUCGUAAAGCUCUGUCGCAGGGGAAUAACACAAUGAAUGUACCCUGUAAGAAAGGAUCGGCUAACUUCGUGCCAGCCGCCGCCGUAAUAC
rnacentral:rRNA from 1 species